rnacentral:rRNA from 1 species
CAGCAGUCGCCGCGGGAAUACGGAGGGUGCAAGCGUUAAUCGGAAUUACUGGGCGUAAAGCGCACGCAGGCGGUCUGACAAGUCAGAUGUGAAAUCCCCGGGCUUAACCUGGGAACUGCAUUUGAAACUGUCAGGCUGGAGUCUUGUAGAGGGGGGUGGAAUUCCAGGUGUAGCGGUGAAAUGCGUAGAGAUCUGGAGGAAUACCGGUGGCGAAGGCGGCCCCCUGGACAAAGACUGACGCUCAGGUGCGAAAGCGUGGGGAGCAAACAGGAUUAGAUACCCCUGUAGUCCCUGUCUCUUAUAA